AGGGAUGAAGCUCAGUGGUAAAACAUAUGCUUUGCAUGCUUAAGGCCCUAGGUUUGAUCCCUAGCAUCUUAA
rnacentral:tRNA from 1 species